UACGUAGGCACCAAGCGUUGUCCGGAUUUAUUGGGCGUAAAGAGCUCGUAGGCGGUUCGGGAAGUCGGGUGUGAAAACUCUGGGCUCAACCCAGAGAGGCCACCCGAUACUGCCGUGACUGGAGUGCGGUAGGGGAGUGGGGAAUUCCUGGUGUAGCGGUGGAAUGCGCAGAUAUCAGGAGGAACACCAAUGGCGAAGGCAGAUCUCUGGGCCGUAACUGACGCUGAGGAGCGAAAGCAUGGGGAGCGAACAGG
rnacentral:rRNA from 1 species